rnacentral:rRNA from 1 species
UACGUAGGGUGCAAGCGUUGUCCGGAAUUAUUGGGCGUAAAGAGCUCGUAGGCGGUCUGUUGCGUCGGCUGUGAAAACCCGAGGCUCAACCUCGGGCCUGCAGCCGAUACGGGCAGACUAGAGUUCGGCAGGGGAGACUGGAAUUCCUGGUGUAGCGGUGAAAUGCGCAGAUAUCAGGAGGAACACCGGUGGCGAAGGCGGGUCUCUGGGCCAAUACUGACGCUGAGGAGCGAAAGCGUGGGGAGCGAACAGG